ACUAUCACAAUAACAUAGGCUGCUUAUUUCGAGUUUUUUUUUUAUUUUAGUGGAUUAUUUUGUGCGUUUAAUGUUUCCAUUCUAACUUAUUCGACACCGUAUCAAGCUGCAUCGCUUGCAUGUUGUGACUCGAACUCGACUUACGUCAUUUCACAGAUGCCUACUUAGCAAAAAUAGCAUAUCUAAACGAUGGCUUCGCUUGCUAAGAAAGCGAAGACCGCCUCUACUUUGCCUGUUUGUCCUUAUGGUGCCAGAUGCUAUCGAAAACAUCCACAGCAUUUAAAAGAUUUCAGGCACGAUACCAAAGAUGAUGGCGAGGUGGCAGGAAGCAGUGGAUCAAAAGUUUCGGCUUCGAGAACUGAUGCGUUAUCUACCAUCGACUCGUCUAACCUUCCAUUCUGUAAAUAUGGGGCAUCUUGUUAUAGGAAAAACCUGUUACAUUUCGCAGAAUUUACUCAUCCUACAACAGUAGUAUCGAAGAUAAAAAACGACGAUGACAGUGAUACGGACGAACUUUCUGAUUCGGAGGAUGAAAAGAAAGGUAAGAAAGGUGAGGUGAAGACAGAUGACAUUUUAAAGAGGGGCAUGUCACUGGUGAAGAGUUACUCAAAGAUGUCGGAGGCAGAGAGGAAAGAGCUCAUCAAGAAGGCAUUUGAAGCCAAACUGAAGCUUCAGAAAGAACUCAAAGAAACACAGGAUGAGAUGAAAAGUAAAGACAAGAAACUUCAGAAGCUUCAAGAUCAGGUCAGUACAGGUUUGCUGCUGGUGGAGGGAGAGAAGGAAGCCUUGGAAGGGAAAAAGACUGUGUACUUCACACUGCAGGCUGAACGAUCCUACAAGGAAGGGUCUGCUGACCAAACUCAUUUCCGACUUGCAGAGUCUCAGUUUUACCGACUCCUUAGUGGCCCCAGUGUAGGAUAUCGUGUCAGCAAGGUAGAUUAUGCAGUUAAUCCCAACUUAGUGAAAAAAUUCAAAUCUGCCCGUGAGGAUUUGAAAAAGCAUCGAGGGGCAGACAAGUCCUUCCCAGUCCUAGCCUUUCAUGGGACAGAUAUGAAAAACAUUAAACCUAUCUGUGAGACUGGAUUCAAAGUGCCAGGAGACACUGGUUUUACUCACAAGACUGACACAGGAUAUUAUGGAAAAGGUGUAUACUUCAGUGAGUUUCCAUCAUAUUCAAUGAGCUACAUCCAUGGGGCUACCAAACUACUGCUGUGUCAGGUCCUACCUGGGAAGGUUUUCCAGUGUACCAAACUCAUCCACGGGUCCGCCCUCCAGAAGGGACAUGAUUCUCACACUUCGCCAGACAAAAUGGAGUUAGUUAUAUUCAACGGCAAUCACAUCCUUCCAUCGUACAUUGUACAUUACGAAAAUGCCAGUACUAAUUUCACAUACAAACCUACUGGCGGUACCUCUGACAUGUUUGACCCAAUGAAGAUAGCAGAAGGUUACGGUGCUAUUGCUAGUUCCAAGGCUUCAAAGACCUUCAAACACGAACAGAUCAUGUUUUCUGGAAUGUUUCAACUACCACAAAACCAAAUGCUGGAGCUAGUAAAAAUGCAUGGAUCAGAAAAAGCCACACCAAAGGUUUUCAGUAUACUGGUAGCAACUCCAAAUGAAUUUACGACGAAAACUAAUAAAGUGCAGCAGGCAGUUCGUAAAGGGAUGUGCUGAGGAUUGUGAUGAGUACCAAGGCUACUUCAGGCAAUACGUGUGGGAGACGUAGCCAUACCACUGUCAUGUUGCCUUUUUUUAUUUGGCUUCUGAGAUCAGUUGGAUUAUGGCACAUGUCUGUUCUACGCACCCUGCAAACCUGUGGGUCCUCUCGUCUAACCUGAAGUGUAAACUUACCUGUUGUUGGAGAAUUGUUCGUGUACGACUGUAUCAAAGCCCGCAAACUGAAGCCCACAGCACCAUAUGAAUUUAC
rnacentral:misc_RNA from 1 species